rnacentral:tRNA from 1 species
GCCUGGGUGGUUCAGCUGGUUGAGCGUCCGACUUCAGCUCGGGUCACGAUCCCGCGCUUCGUGGGUUCGAGCCCCGCGUCGGGCU